AUGGCCCUGGGUGACGGCCGUAUGGCCCUUUUCUGGGAUGACCGAUGGAUCGACGGCCGCUCCAUCAGCAAGAUCGUGCCGCAGUGCAUCUCCAAACGCAGGAGAAAGAUGCGGACUGUUUCUGAUGGGCUCCAGGCUAACGCUUGGGCUGUGAUCGAGGGCACGCUGGGCGUCCACAAGAUCGGCCAGUAUAUACGGCUCUGGCACGCUGUCGAGCGCAUUACCCUGACCACGGAGCCUGAUCGAUUCCUCUGGAAAUGGACUACGAGCGGAUCCUACUCUGCAAAGUCCUGCUGCAAGCCCACCUUCCAGCGUUCAAUCCAUAGCGAGUCUUAGAAAUUUGUUUGGAAGAACUGGGCGCCCCCUCGGGUACGUUUCUUUCACUGGCUCGCCAAUCAGGACAGAUGUUGGACCACCGACCGCUUGGCACGCCGAGGACUGCAACACCAAACCUGAUGCCUCCUUUGCUGCCAGAGCACCGAGAAGAUGAGCCACCUGCUGCUCCGCUGUCCAUUCUCUCGACAA
rnacentral:rRNA from 1 species